rnacentral:rRNA from 1 species
UACGGAGGGGACUAGCGUUGUUCGGAUUCAUUGGGCGUAAAGGGUGCGUAGGCGGCGCGGUAAGUCGGAUGUGAAAUCUCGGGGCUUAACUCCGAAACUGCAUUCGAUACUACCGUGCUUGAGGACUGGAGAGGAGACUGGAAUUUACGGUGUAGCGGUGAAAUGCGUAGAUAUCGUAAGGAAGACCAGUGGCGAAGGCGGGUCUCUGGACAGUUCCUGACGCUGAGGCACGAAGGCCAGGGGAGCAAACGGG